rnacentral:rRNA from 1 species
GAUGGGGGGCAAGUGUUUUUCGAAAUGACUGGGCGUAAAGGGCACGUAGGCGGUGAAUCGGGUUGAAAGUGAAAGCCGCCAAAAACUGGCGGAAUGCUAUCGAAACCAAUUCACUUGAGUGAGACAGAGGAGAGUGGAAUUUCGUGUGCAGGGGUGAAAUUCGGAGAUCUACGAAGGAAGGCCAAAAGCGAACGCAUCUCUCUGGGUCCCUACCGACGCUGAGGUGCGAAAGCAUGGGGAGCGAACAGG